UACAGAGGGUGCGAGCGUUAAUCGGAAUUACUGGGCGUAAAGGGUGUGUAGGUGGCGCCGUAAGUCGGGUGUGAAAUCUCGGAGCUUAACUCCGAAACUGCAUUCGAUACUGCGGUGCUUGAGGACUGGCGAGGAGACUGGAAUUCAUGGUGUAGCAGUGAAAUGCGUAGAGAUCAUGAGGAAGACCAGUGGCGAAGGCGGGUCUCUGGACAGUUCCUGACACUGAGACACGAAGGCCAGGGGAGCAAACGGG
rnacentral:rRNA from 1 species